rnacentral:rRNA from 1 species
AUUGAACGCUGGCGGCAGGCCUAACACAUGCAAGUCGAACGAGUGGCGGACGGGUGAGUAAUGUCUGGGAAACUGCCCUAUAGAGGGGGAAAACUACUGGAAACGUUAUCUAAUACCGCAACCCAUCGGAUGCGCCCAGAUGGUCUUAGCUGGUAGGUGGGGUAAUGGCUCACCUAGGCGACGAUCCCUAGCUGGUCUGAGAGGAUGACCAGCCACACUGGAACUGAGACACGGUCCAGACUCCUACGGGAGGCAGCAGUGGGGAAUAUUGCACAAUGGGCGCAAGCCUGAUGCAGCCAUGCCGCGUGUAUGAAGAAGGCCUUCGGGUUGUAAAGUACUUUCAGCGGGGAGGCGUUAACCGCAGAAGAAGCACCGGCUAACUCCGGGCCAGCAGCCGCGGUAAUUC